UAAGCUGCUAUCCCAGGGGGGGAGGGCCGCUAUAUGCGGAAAGUACCUCUUCAACUGGGCGGUGAAAACC
rfam:Hepacivirus hominis isolate G1_bcn_new, complete genome